CCGGACAUACGUGUUGCAAAUUUAAGUGUGCAAACCCAAAGUUGGAGGAUAUAAAUGUGAAAUGAGGCUUCAAAUCGACAUUCAAACUUUCACUGAAUUGUGUGCUAGCUAUUGAUACCACCUAAAAUAAUUUCUCUCAAUGCAUAGAACCACGCGGUUAUAUUUCUCAAACAUAAGCAUAGUAUUCCAAACAACUACAUAUUCAUAAAUAAAUGCAUCUUCUAAAAUCACCACGAAAAGCUGCAUUAUUUUUUUCGAUAUGCCAAACACAUAACCUGUGAAUUAAUGUGAUGGACUUCAGGUAUCACAAGUGAGAUAGCAGCAACUUGGUCGUCCAUCGGUAAAAAAUGUUUUUGGUUUUCUUUCGGACACUACUCUGAA
rnacentral:lncRNA from 1 species